ensembl:lncRNA
AGUUUGUGGCGCCACGCCGCCCGGAGCCAUGGCCGCCCCGUGAGCAUUUGGAGCAUGUGAGGAGCUGCCAGAGAAAAUCUCUAAUAUUUUAAUUUCUGCUGCUUCAGGGUGAAGAUUUUGCGGCUGGGGGAAGAGGAGAGAGGAAGACAGCCUAGCUGGAGAAAUGAGGGCAUCUGUGAAGAAGCUGGCUGAGCAUCGCAGGAGCUGCAGGAACAUUUACUUGACUCCUUGUUUCUGAAGAAAGGUCAACAGCAGCUAUUGUGGUGUGGUGGUGAUUUAUUCAGCCCAACUGCUAGUGAAGGUCUGGACUAAGCUGGAGGGCUUCCUCCUGCUUUUUGACAGUGACUCUGUUGUUGCACAUACAGGAAACACCUCGAGGGGGUCAGGCAGGGAAAUAUGCUUAAUUUGAAAUCCAGUAGCUGAAAUGGUGUCAGUGCUGGUGGAGCAGCAAGCAGGGACCGGAGGGCAGUUGUGUCUGUAUGCUGCAGCCUUCAGCAUCCCCUCCAGCAUUUCUCACCUCCAAUGUUCAGCUCUGAAACAUAUGUUGACCACUCAAGGGAUCCAGUGAGUGGUUGGUUUGCCUUUGUGUUAUAGGCUGCAUGGAGAAUUCAAUCUAUUAGUAAAUCAGAGAACUGGUAAACUAUACUAGAUACUAGGAUUCAUUAGACAUUCAGGCUCCAAACAGGGCAGGUGAGCUUAAAAACCACAAGACGGCUGUUCUGGCACUUCUGCCCGUUAGAUCUCAGCCCUCAGCGAGGCGGUGUGAUGUGCACACGUGUCAAGCUGUUGCAGACAGCCAGCACCAUGUUUUCAGUUGGGCAGCCGCCGGGAUGUGCUGCACUCAGUGGAAGCACAGCCUGCGCUGUGCGCAAGCGUGGCACCUGCCCGGGGCCUGUCAGACCCCUGUCCUUCAGCAGCACGGACGUUGCUCCUGUCACUCAGCUCCAAAAAGGCCCAUGUAGGUCAUUUCUGGACUGUGUGGCUGUGAUACGCUGCCAGGCGCUGCACAGCAGUGAGUUUGUCAGGUGCAGGGUUGACGUGCUGAGCAGAAACAGACUGGUUAAUUCUAUUUCAAUUUCCAUUUCUUGAAGAUGCUCCUGCCCCAGUCUGUGCCUGUACAAGUGUGACAGUCAUCGGUGCGGGGCGCAGCUUGCUGUGGGACAGGCAAUACCAGCACGAAGCCAAGAUGGUGGCAUUUAACUGGAAGGCUUUGGAGAAUUUCCCAUUGCUGAUGUACAUUUUGGCAGCUAAAACAUUGAUUCUUUGCUUGGCGUUUGCUGGAGUAAAAAUGUACCAGAGCAAAAAAAUUGAAGAAAAACUGAAGAGGGAGCAUGAAAAGAAAUUGAAAGCAGAAGCAGAGAAGAAGGAUGACUGAAGAGUCUCUCAGAUUUUCUGACACUUGGCAGCUUGCAUUGGAUUCCUUUCCUGGAAGAACGAAGCCUUCCUGUAGAUGAAGGAUGUGUCAAAGGAAUAAAACCCUCAAGAGUAACAUUCACUUAAACUGUAUCUCAAGUUUUUAUAUGUACAGCGAAAUAUCUGAGCCUCUAUUUAUGCAAUAAAAAAUCCUUUGUUAGAAAAA